ensembl:lincRNA
GGAGUGUGGGCGUGGUGGAGGCGGAGCCAAGGACAGAGUCGGAGGACCAGUUCAAUCUGGGCCUGCUUGCUUUUCUCUGUGUGUUCGGACCCUGCUGUUCUCCAUAGGACAAGCUCUGUGACCCUCGCCUGGGACUGACUGGUCUAGGUUCUUUGGGAACCAAUUUCUCUUUGUGAGGUAGAGCACAACCUCCUAGUCUUCCGGGCGGGCCACUCAUUUACCCUGUCAAACUCAGGGGCGGAGCAAUGGGGAACGAAGCUGUAGGGAGCUGAUAAACUCCCAGUUUGAAAACCGAGAUUGUGAGCCCCAGCAGCGAUUCCAGAUUGCUGCCCUACAGGCAGAUGUGUCUUUAUUGGUCUUUAUCGGUCACAUCAGGGUCUUGAUUAGCGUCUUGAGAACUUGAAGCAAACAAUUGCUUAUGGCGUGUCGUUCUUAGACUUAGCCUAGGCAUACCAGAAGUUUACAACGAAAAAAAUCAGUAGCAAAGCAUCCUAUGAAGGUAAUGUAUGUAGUACAAGGGUUAAAAUCCUGAAUGCCUCUUGAUAGCCUUGAGAACAUUUCACUUCCUUGAGCCUCAGUUUCCUGAUCUAUACCAGGAUGCAGAUAACCAUCUGGUAGUGUGGCUGCGAGGGCUAGAGUUUAACAAAUGUAGUUAGGCACUGUUAAGUAAAAGACAACAAAUCCAUUUUUUACUGAAUCUAGUGGAUGAGAAACCAUGUAAGGAAUUUCAGUUUGUUUUGUUUAAAGCAGGAAGAUGGCAAUCCAAGAUACUCGAAUUCUCUACUUACACAGUCCUCCCGCCUGAAGUAUGAACGGAGAAACAGAUGGAGAAAAGAAUAGACUUAUUAACCACAAGGUGGCACACUAGAAGGCGGCAAGCAGGCUUUUGCUUUUCAAUGUCCAUCUUGCCCUUUUGCCCUGUUUUUCAAGGGAAGGUAUGUGGGCCCCAAACAGGUGGAGCCCUCGGUGACCCCGUGUUCCAAAGAGCAGCCUGUUCUGGUGUCCUGGCUCUGCACAUCUUACCUUCUUUAUGUAGAGCCGUGAGGUGUUCAGUUCAACACUUUUGUGUUGAUUAAAAUUAAAAUGUCUGGUUAUUGCUGAGGUCAGCUUUUCUGGCAAGCAUCAACUCCAGGAAAUUGACCUCUCAUAACCUGAGACAAGGGAGGAAGGGGAGGGACUAUGUUUUUAGCUAACUUCAAUGAGCAGGUGUUCGACAAAAGGUAAAUUUCAGUGGGCAGCUAAUUCUGGAGAGUGCAGUAUGGAAUAUGCAGAAAUGGGGGUAUUAUGCAUGUUUUUAUUCCCAGGAAGCAGUUUUGGCUUUCUUCUUAUUUGUGUGUUAAAGUGUCAUAUGGGAGUGAUUAGGGGUGGGAGAAAGUUUGUCAACAUGAAGUCAGGAUGUGGAUAUUCACUGUCCAGACUAUAUAAGAAGCAAAAUUGGAAUCAAGUAGGAGGAUUUUAUAGGCAUGCAUGCUCUCCAACAUACAUACAUACAUACAUACAUACAUACAUACAUACAUACACAGACACACACACACACACACACACCAGGGGCAGGGGAGGAUUCCUUAAAUAGUAGAGCAUAGAGGAAGGGUAGGGAAGGACACUGCAGUUCUACAUCUGCCCUCCAGAACCUUGGUUCUUGUGGAAGCUGCAAUGAAUAAGGACUAGUAAGGGAGAGGCAUAGCCAGGAGGUUCAAUGGGAGGCUUGGAUUAUUUGUAAAAGCCAAUGUUGGAUCUAGACGUCAGUGUUUGCUCUUUAUAGACAGGCACAGUCGUGAAGCUUCAAGCUGCUGGCUGUUUCGAUAGUGUCUCAAGGAGAUCUCAUUAUCCAGGUGAUACUGACAGUUCACUCAGGGAUAUUCUAGGGUGAGGAUUCAAGACUCGUCUUUAUUCAUGUAAGGAGAAAAACGGGAAUGUCUUUAUCUUAGUAGGAGAGCUCAUUUUCUCCUUAGGAAACAGUGUCAAUGGUUUUUAGACUUACUAAUUGGAAAGUACUGACUCCUUAAGUUGCCCCUUAAAACACACACAUGCACACAUACACACAUACACAUACACACUCACUGAAUAAAUGUGAUUUAAGAGGCAUACACAUAUCUUUUGGGUUCUAAAUACUACAACAUCUAAAUAUAGAUCAAACACUUCUGAUGAAGACCUUGUGUUCAAGUUGAGUUCUAAUAUGUUUUGUAUUCUUACAUAUUAAAAAACAUAAUAUUCUGGAUUGACUAGCUAAAAUAAAACAUGGAAAUCAGUCUUACCUAGUAUGUUUAUUUUUAAAGGAAAAUCCAAAAUGGUGAAUGUGACUCAUGUUACAUUCCUACAGAACAGCACUGGUAUGCAUAUAAUAAAGGAUAUUAUUUAU